AGCAGCCGCGGUAAUUCCAGCUCCAAUAGCGUAUAUUAAAGUUGUUGCAGUUAAAAAGCUCGUAGUUGAAUUUCGGGGUCAGUAGGUUGGUCAUGCCUUUGGUAUGUACUGGUCUCACUGAUUCCUCCCUCUUGAAGAACUGUAAUGUCAUUAAUUUGGUGUUGCGGGGAAUCAGGACUGUUACUUUGAAAAAAUUAGAGUGUUUAAAGCAGGCUUACGCUUGAAUACACUAGCAUGGAAUAAUGAAAUAGGACGUUUGAUCCUAUUUUGUUGGUUUCUAGGAUUGACGUAAUGAUUAAUAGGGAUAGUUGGGGGCAUUAGUAUUCAAUUGUCAGAGGUGAAAUUCUUGGAUUUAUUGAAGACUAACUACUGCGAAAGCAUUUUGCCAAGGAUGUUUUCAUUAAUCAAGAACGAAAGUUAGGGGAUCGAAGACGAUCAGAUACCGUCGUAGUCUUAACCAUAAGCUAUGCCGACUAGGGAUCGGAUGAUGUUAAUUUUUUAAUGACUCAUUCGGC
rnacentral:misc_RNA from 1 species